rnacentral:rRNA from 1 species
GAUGAACGCUGGCGGCGUGCCUAAUACAUGCAAGUCGAGCGAACGGACGAGAAGCUUGCUUCUCUGAUGUUAUCGGCGGACGGGUGAGUAACACGUGGAUAACCUACCUAUAAGACUGGGAUAACUUCGGGAAACCGGAGCUAAUACCGGAUAAUAUUUUGAACCGCAUGGUUCAAAAGUGAAAGACGGUCUUGCUGUCACUUAUGGAUGGAUCCGCGCUGCAUUAGCUAGUUGGUAAGGUAACGGCUUACCAAGGCAACGAUGCAUAGCCGACCUGAGAGGGUGAUCGGCCACACUGGAACUGAGACACGGUCCAGACUCCUACGGGAGGCAGCAGUAGGGAAUCUUCCGCAAUGGGCGAAAGCCUGACGGAGCAACGCCGCGUGAGUGAUGAAGGUCUUCGGAUCGUAAAACUCUGUUAUUAGGGAAGAACAUAUGUGUAAGUAACUGUGCACAUCUUGACGGUACCUAAUCAGAAAGCCACGGCUAACUACGUG